UAGAAACUGCAUGAGUGAACAUUUCAGAAAGAAUGUUUGUUUCCAAGUCGCUCUUUUUGUUUAUUUUCCUAGAGUGUGUGUAAGUGAGAGUGGCUGUGAUACUAUUGGCUGCUAUAACUCAGAUGGGCUUCAGGAAGAGCCCCCUGCACAGUCCCACCAAUGUUACUCCCCUAUGGUCAUGAUCGGGUUUCUGCCCUGGGUGGCCAUCCAUCCAGCCAUCCACAUCUGUUGGACGAUUAUGACACACCAGGUCAGACCGUGAGAGGAUUGGACGAGAUGUGCUCUGUCUUUGAAGUUUCUGCAUUUCAUUUGAAAGAUUUAGUAGAUCAUGCCCUUCCUGCACUACAUGUCCUUCUAAUCAUUUUUAUACUAUUUUUCUGAAUGAAGAACACCAGGGCUGAAUCAGUUGUUGUCCCAUACUGCAUGUAAAUGUCUUGUAGAAGAUUAAGAGAUAGUUAUAAAAGCCCUUAAGAAAUGUGAUGUCAUGGAAGGACUGUUGAGCUCCCACUGAUUUUCUUGGUUUUCAAAUCUGGCCACCCUCACAUACACAGCUACAGUUCGUCAGCACGUUUCUUGGGUGAUGAUUAGUCAUUUGGAGUUGGCGGAGACUCAUCAUACAAUUUCAUCUGUUUGCUCCCCCAAAGACAAAGUCAUUUCCUCCAGGGAUUUCUAGGGAUGAGAAAAUUCAUGUUGGUUUUUUGUGUCUGAAACGACUGUUUA
ensembl:lncRNA